rnacentral:snRNA from 1 species
AUUUUCGUGAUUUGUGCU